GCAGUUGUGGUUCAGUGGCAGAAUUCUCACCUACCACGAGGGCGACCUGGGUUUGAUUCCCGGCCAAAGCA
rnacentral:tRNA from 1 species